CAUUUGGGAAAAAUGAGCUGUUGGAAAUCAAACACCCAGACGUGAAGUACCUGAAUGUAAUUCUUCUCACCAGACCCAUGCUUGUCUCAAACUGCACCUCUCAGAAUUUACGGGCUAUACGUGAGAAGCUUGACCCAAAAGUCGAUUAUACAUGCACGGAGGUAGCUGAAUCUCAUAUCCAAGAGUGUGCCUCUGAUACAAAUACAGGCUGUGGGGCCUGUUUACUUGGUGGUGGCUAAUGAAUAUGUAGAGUCCAAAUGACAAGAAAUUACCUGAAGUAAUGAAAUGUGAUUUGUAUUUUUUAUU